GAUGAACGCUGGCGGCGUGCCUAAUACAUGCAAGUCGAGCGAACAGAUGAGGAGCUUGCUUCUCUGAUGUUAGCGGCGGACGGGUGAGUAACACGUGGGUAACCUACCUAUAAGACUGGGAUAACUCCGGGAAACCGGGGCCAAUACCGGAUAAUAUUUUGAACCGCAUGGUUCAAUAGUGAAAGACGGUUUCGGCUGUCACUUAUAGAUGGACCCGCGCCGUAUUAGCUAGUUGGUAAGGUAACGGCUUACCAAGGCGACGAUACGUAGCCGACCUGAGAGGGUGAUCGGCCACACUGGAACUGAGACACGGUCCAGACUCCUACGGGAGGCAGCAGUAGGGAAUCUUCCGCAAUGGGCGAAAGCCUGACGGAGCAACGCCGCGUGAGUGAUGAAGGUCUUCGGAUCGUAAAACUCUGUUGUUAGGGAAGAACAAAUUUGUUAGUAACUGAACAAGUCUUGACGGUACCUAACCAGAAAGCCACGGCUAACUACGUGCCAGCAGCCGCAGUAA
rnacentral:rRNA from 1 species